rnacentral:rRNA from 1 species
AUAUCAAUAAGCGGAGGAAAAGAAACUAACAAGGAUUCCCUUAGUAACGGCGAGUGAAGCGGGAAAAGCUCAAAUUUAAAAUCUGGCGGGGUACCCCGUCCGAGUUGUAGUUUCAAGAUACGUUUUCGGUGCGCGCCUGGGUAUAAGUCCUUUGGAACAGGGCAUCAUAGAGGGUGAGAAUCCCGUUUAUGAUCCGGAGCGGCGUACUAUGUGAUACGUUUUCAAAGAGUCGAGUUGUUUGGGAAUGCAGCUCAAAAUGGGUGGUAAAUUUCAUCUAAAGCUAAAUAUUGGCGAGAGACCGAUAGCGCACAAGUA